rnacentral:rRNA from 1 species
ANGUCCAUAUCAUGCCCUUAUGACCUGGGCUACACACGUACUACAAUGGCCGGUACAACGGGCCGCGAAGCCGCGAGGCGGAGCCAAUCCUUAAAAGCCGGUCUCAGUUCGGAUUGCAGGCUGCAACUCGCCUGCAUGAAGUCGGAAUUGCUAGUAAUCGCGGAUCAGCAUGCCGCGGUGAAUACGUUCCCGGGUCUUGUACACACCGCCCGUCACACCACGAGAGUUUACAACACCCGAAGUCGGUGGGGUAACCCGCAAGGGAGCCAGCCGCCGAAGGUGGGGUAGAUGAUUGGGGUGAAGUCGUAACAAGGUAGCCGUAUCGGAAGGUGCGGUUGGAUCANCACNNA